ACAGCGCCUAGGCUGAUCACUGAACAGCGGGAAACCUUCAACCCGCUUGGCGCUGAUUUUCUUUGGAGGGU
rnacentral:sRNA from 12 species